rnacentral:tRNA from 1 species
GGGCUCAGCGGCAAAGCGUUUGCCUUUUAUGCAGAAAGUCGUGGGUUCAGUUCCUGCCA